AAAAAAUAAAAGAUGCCACCAGGUACUGAUGCUGACUGCCGCUGCUGCAGCAGCAGCACACGGCACACAGUGUUGCAAAUAUAAUAUGGACAACUCUCUCUCUCUCUCUCCCUCUCUCCCUCCUAUUCUGUCUUUUGGGUUGGUGCUCCUGUAUUAGGCCAGCUAGCCCACCCACUGAACCCUCAGAGGCUUGUGUGAUUGAUGGCUGGAACUGCCUUCGGGUGGAGGACUGAUGAUCAGCUCUACUGUUCUGCUUUUGAUGCACAAGAAGUUAUAGUUUUGAGCAAGCUCGUGUUAGCAUAUGCAUGUGCAAAAUUUUUCAGUUGUGGAAGAAGGGUCACAAGGGUAAACUUCAAAUUCAUUCAGAAUAAAUAUGAGCCCCAUGAUGGAAUCCAUCAGAACAGUGAAAGAUGUGAAGGCUUCCCAUUGUCAGGGCUCAGGAAGUCUCCUAAUGGAUGAAACACUGAAACUUCCUCUGUUUUGGGGAAAAAAUGUUUGAAAAAAAGGGAAAAAUGUGAGUGAAGAUUUGACAUUUCAUGGCAGCGGGACUUCUGGAGUUACCUUUCACCUUUCAGUGGUGCAGUAUUUGUGGAUUAUGUAUGGCUCCUGUGGAUUAUGUAUGGCUCUGGAAAUAUUGGAUGCAUGAGCAUGCCUCUUAUAAGAAGCAACAAUGGUUUUUGGUUUAUAAACUAUCAAAUUCUUAUACUAUAAUUAUUCUACUACAAGGUGUAUAUGUAUAUAUGAAUAUAUUUUAACCAAA